rnacentral:rRNA from 1 species
AUACGUAGGGGGCUAGCGUUAUCCGGAAUUACUGGGCGUAAAGGGUGCGUAGGUGGUUUCUUAAGUCAGAAGUGAAAGGCUACGGCUCAACCGUAGUAAGCUUUUGAAACUAAGAGACUUGAGUGCAGGAGAGGAGAGUAGAAUUCCUAGUGUUGCGGUGAAAUGCGUAGAUAUUAGGAGGAAUACCAGUUGCGAAGGCGGCUCUCUGGACUGUAACUGACACUGAGGCACGAAAGCGUUGGGAGCAAACAGGAUUAGAUACCCUGGUAGUCCACGCCGUAAACGAUGAGUACUAGCUGUCGGGGGUUACCCCCCUCGGUGGCGCAGCUAACGCAUUAAGUACUCCGCCUGGGAAGUACGCUCGCAAGAGUGAAACUCAAAGGAAUUGACGGGG